rnacentral:lncRNA from 1 species
GGUACAUGAAAAGCGCUUUAUAAAUCAAAUAUAUUAUUAUUAUUAUUAUUAUUAUCUAAAAGUGCCAAAAAUAAAAGUGAUUAAACAAAAUAAAAAAGACAUUAAAAAGUAUUAAAUAUUGUGAAAAAAUUAUAUAUCUAUGGUUAGUGUAGGCCUAAAUAUUAGUUUGCAUCCAUACAGCAGCAGCAGAAGAAGACGACGAAGAAGAAGAAGAAGAAGAAGAAGAAGAAGAAGAAGAAGACGAGGACGACGAGGAGGACGACGAAGAAGAAGAAGAUGAAGAUGAUGAUGAUGAUCACCUGUUCUCUCAGCAUGGUGUGUGGCACGAGGUAGUGACGUCACUACAGGACCACCGCGGAUUUAACGGACUGAGGACAUUGGCCGGUGCGCAGAUGUUGACUGUUCUGCCAUCGUUCCAUUACUCCAGCAGUCUGUCUCCUCACUGUGACCUUACAUCAGCUUGUGGAGUCAUUGGACAACGAAGGACAAGAAUGUGGCCACUUGACAAUAAACCUGCUGUCAUCCCCCAUGGAGUACUGCCGGCCAUCGAUGGGAAUGUCUGGCUGAAAAUCUUCCGUUGGCUCAUUCCCAGCAUGAUUGGCAGCUGACUGUCUGCACCCAGGAUAAGGCCAUUCAACGCUGCCUUCAAGUGCUGUCGGAAAUACUGCAAUCGCAGUUUUAUGUGCACACAACCAG